rnacentral:lncRNA from 1 species
CCUGGGAACCUCCACAUGCCACGGGAGGCGGCCCUAGAAAAGACAAACAAAGUUCCUAUCUGGGCAGUCUACUUCUAGAAAUGUAUCCCAAGGGAAUAAUAAUAAAUUUGUAGAAAUAAUGAUUUAGUAAAAUAUUUACCCAAAUCUCAGUUUUAGAAGCAAAGUUUGAAAACAACCUAAAUGUUUAGUAAUAAUUCUUGGUACACAUCCACUGUGUCUUGACUGAGUAAAUUGCUUUCUGUCCAUCUGCACAGACCUUGUAAAUAUUGCUGGGAAGGUUGUUUAUAGGCAUUAAAAUGUUCCUAGUCUGUAUUUGAAUGAACAAAGCCAGCUACCUACAGUAUGUUCCUGUUUUAACGUUGAAGUUUUUAUAUAUGCCUUAAAACUUCUAGAAGCGUGUGUUCAGCAUUAACAGCCAUUACCUGUGGUUGACAGAAUUAAAGCAAUUUAUAAUCUUUUUCAUUCUCUAUAUUGAAAAUAUAUACAUCAUACAAUAAGUAUUAUGUCUCACUUAAUUUUAAAAAAUGGGGAAAGUGGAGGGAAAAAAAUCGUGAGACUCCUGGAGUGGCCACUGCCAGGGUCUGGCAAGUGGAGCAAAAACAGAGAAAGACCGUCUUGCCCUCGUGGCUGCCUGAAAACAGCCUCUUUCAGAGCCGGCUGUGUCUUUGCCACGGCUUUGUAUUCCAGCAGCUGGUUUCACAGACCGGCUCGGCCAAGUACAGCGUGUGCCACACCAGGUGGUUUUUGGAGCUCACCAGGUAUGAGUAACGCUUGCUCUUUUGCCUUUGGAUGAGUCCGUGUGGGGCGCCGAGCUGUUGACAGAACCUGCGCUGAGAACAACGUUUAUUUAUAUCCACGCACAAUCGUUCACGUCUAAAUUGAGGGCUUUCUCCUAAUUUGCUCACAGUGUGCAAACAUUUGCAGUCCCUCUGCUGAUGAUCCUGGGUUUGGUUUGGCUGGGCUUGAGCAAAUGAAAAGGAACCAGGACGGUGAGUGCAGCUGAAUGCUGUGAUUCAUGUGUGGAAACAGGGCACAGUUGCUUCUAAGAUACAUGUUGGGGACACUGAGAUCUCUAGACUUCUUUUUUAUACCUUGAGGGCAAAUUCAUCUGUGUCCUGCUCCUGCUGGAAGAUGUUUUUAAGACUGUGUGUGUGUGUGUGUGUGUGUGUGUGUGUAGACUGGCUAGGAAUGGGCCGUUUGUAUCCGUGGGGUGUCUUUCUGGAACAGGAACAUGCCCAUAAGCCUCUGCUUGGUAUGAAAAAGGUCAAAUAUACAAAAAGCAGAGAGAUAUGUAUAAUGACGCUCCCCAAGUAGGAGUAGGUGUCAUUGCUUCAGCAAUCGUCAACAUAGGGCCAAUCCUGUGUCCCUUAUAACAUGAGACACUACAAAUGCCAGCUGCUGCGGAGCUGGCAUUGGAAGUCUGAGAAACUCUUCUCUGUAAGUGGGAUUAGGCAGCCAGACAGGCCUGACCUGAAGCUGGCCUGAGCCUUAUAAGUUGCUGCUGGGUUGAUCUUCGGCCACGUCACCUUUCUGACCGUCAUCUGUGAAAAGGAAAUACAGUCCACACCUUACAGGACAAUUGCCUUAACCCAAGGCUCCCUUCUUUGUUUCCAGCAGGUCCUUAAUUGCUAUUUUAUUACUGUUUCUACAUGUCUGUCUAGAGUGGACAACCUAAAGGAAACAAAGAGAAAGUCCUCCCCAAUAUUCAGACCUCCAAAUAGGCUGAUAAAUAACCACUGCCCACCUGCCGAGGUCAUCGGUCAGGGAUGAGCACCUGCCGGGAAUUAACCCUGUAACUGGCAACUGGUGCUGGUGUGAGCUGCUGCCUUCUCAUUGUAAAUGGCAAAUACAUACCGAGAUGGUUCCAAAUUUCACCAGUAUGGCCUGAACAAUUUUUUUUUUAACACUUCCUCCACUAGCUGGCCCCUUGCUUGGGUUCAGGCCCAGAGCUGCCCACAGGGUGAUCCGUGUGCUCUCAUGAGUCCAUGUCGAUGAAUUUUUCAGCCCACCUUCUACCAGGGAAGAGAAAACAGAGCAGGCCUGUGUUGAUGGGAAGCUAGUGAGUUAGGAGAGAUGGGGAGGAAGCCUGGGGAGCUGCUGCUCUGGUGGUGGGACCUAUGGGGGAAAGAUGAGCGUGUGACUCACCUGGGUGGAGUGCGCAGAACAGGAGGAGUCCCCGAACCUGGAGCUAUGAGGCGAGCCAGCACCUGGGCCCACAGGUGCUCCAGCUUUCUGGGGAUCCUCCUCCAGCAUCGCCAAAGCCUGGGCCGGGCGCAUCCACUUAACUCACGGGGCAGGCUCCCAGUUUUUGAAGGAUCUUCACACCGGUAAGUUCAGAGGCAGUGAGACCUCAGGCGGGUUCAGUCUGUCCCCGAGGACUCAGAUUAUGCUUGUGGGUCCCCCUUGUUCUCUUCUACCUCAUCUCCAUCUUCCUCUCUCCACUGCCCGCAGCCUCCAGCAGCAGCCGCCUUAUAGACACUGCUUAGCCCGGUCCUGCACUUGCUCAGGUCCGGUCUCUGUAACAGAACACACGCGCAUCUCGUGAUGGUGCUUCUCUGAUGGAGCCUUAGCCGAUGCGCAGAAGUAGACAACUGUGUUGGGGCGGAGGAGGUGCCCUGAACUCCAGCUCAGCCCUCCUCCUCCCAAGCCCUUCCAUCCUAGGAUCAACAGGAGCCUGUGACUGACUACAGCAGGAGAGCAGGCGUGGCAUGGAUCCCGUGCAAGCCGGCAGUGGAGACCCAGCGCCUGAGAGUGACGUGGGGAACUAGCAGGAGCUAGAAGUGACUUAGGACGAGCUUUUGUAAAGCGGAGGUGUGAGUGUAAUAUCAGGAUGAUUUGACUGCAAGCAACAGAGAAUCAAACAGAAAUGGCCUAGGGAGUCCCUUCGUGGCUCCCCAGUUAACAAUCUGACUGGAUCAUGAGGAUGCAGGUUCAAUCCCCGGCCUCUAUCAGUGGGUGAAGGAUCUAGUGCUACCAUGAGCUGUGCUGUGGUGUAGGCUGGCGGCCGCAGCUCCAGUUGGACCCCUAGCCCGGGAACUUCCAUAUGCUGUGGGUGCAGCCCUAAAAAGCAAAAACAAACAAAAAAAUGAAACAAAACAAAACAAAAAAUCCACAAAAAAAAUCAGAAAUGGCCUAAACAAAGAAGAAAACGUGUUAUCCCAUACUACAAGAAGUUUGGGGAUUGAGUGAGUGGUUAAAUGCAUGAUUAGUUUAGAAACUUGACAGCACCACCCAGGACCCAUUUUCCCUAAGGCGCUGCUGCCCCCCACCCUGUAGGCUUAGCCACCGCAGCAAAGACACCCCCCUUCCCCAACCAGAGCCCUGCGUCAGGACUGGAAGGGGCCUCCUUCCCUCCAUCCCCUUCCAGAACCUCCGCAGAAGACUCCCCUUGACGUCUCAUUCCAUCCCAUACUGGUCACUUUGCAGGGGAACGGAUUUACCAUGGUGGCCAGAGACAAUUAAGUCGCCCCCAUCUCUGGAGAACACUUGACCACUCAGUACCCAGCAACUCGGGUACUCCUGGCAAGAAAGAGACAGGUGAUACCCACUGGGUCCUGUCCACAGCGCCUGCCCCCAGCAACCUGUCUACCUGGAAAACUGAGGGGGUGCCACGCGGGUCUGUGUCUUCUCUGUAGUUUGCCCGAGUCUUUCCCAUUAGGUAAGUGUCGCCCUUUUCCCUCUUUGCGGCUUUCCUCCUUGGCACGUCACCCAGGUUUUGUUCAGCCACAAGGGGCGAUAGGCUGAAAGAGGAAUCUCCAGGCCUAGGUGAUGGGCCAGCCGUGGUGAUCCUCACCCGUUUGCCUGGGCACCGUUUGGGAAACGUCCCCCUGCUCACCACGGAGAUGAAAGACCAGGUCCCUGGAGGGGCUUCGCGGAAGGAUUUUUCUCCCCAGUAAAGCGGCAGACAAGCCAAGGGUCCGCCGCCCUACGCGCCGUCUGCCUUUGAGCCGCCGCCAGCUCACAUCCUUGAGCAGAAACGUUGCAGGGAGGCAGAAAGCGCCGAGUCUCAUGGAUCGUGCUGAGCGUUGCAUCCACCCAGGACUGCUUACCUUCAGACUUCUGCUCCGGUGGCAGAGCAGCAAACCCCUAUUGUGUAAGCCUUUGUAGAUGGCUGGUGCCACUUGCUGCUGAAAGUGACAGAUAAUCUUUCUAGGAAUAUAACCCCUAAAGCCCUUUAUGGUAACAGAUGCACUUAGAGAAUGUAGUUUUCUUUCUUUUUCUUACUUAAAAAAAAAAAAAAAAAAAAAGAUGAAGUCUGCCUCAGGCAAAAAGACAAACUGAAAACAUAUGUAUGCAUAAUUGAAGUGCAAUCAAUAUUCAUUAGAAAAUGAACGAAUGUUCUUCAAGUUACUUUAAUAGUUUUCUCGGGGAAUCUGUUUUUGGAUACGUAUGUCAGCUACAAUAUUUGGCACUUCCAGGAGCUCUGUGUUGAUGUCCUUCCUAGAAGUUGCACUUCUGCGCAUUUUUCUGCGCCUUUGGGGUCUCAGAUGUUCCUGGAAGGAAUCACUUUUCACUCCCCUGGCUUUUCCCUCGAACAGGUAACUUGUAACUUGCUGUUGCCUAUAGAUAUCGAGCAUUUGUCCAAAAAUAUGUUCCUACAAUACCUUCCUGUCUCAGCCAUUCCAUUCACAAGACAGUUUAAACAUUUCUCCAUGCUAUUCCACAGAUCAUUCAUAGAGGAACCAUCUGAACCAUGCAACAAAGUCUAGAAACUUUUAUGACUUUUAACUUCCACGACAAGUUAUCAUGUACUUGGUACCCUCAGCCAGGUACAUGUUAAGCUCAGGUUUCAUGUAUGUUAGCGUGGAGCCAUAUUUCCUUGUGGAUAAACCUAUAGAUUUAUCCCCACCCCCGCUUCCCUUCCCAGAAGUAACUGUUGCCUUGACAACAGGGUAAGGACAGCAGUGAUGACGGCUGUGAUAACGAUUAUGAUAAUGAUGGCAGGAGAAACUGUAUGCUGGCCAUUAUCUAAGCACUUUACAUGCAUUAGCUCCUUUAACGCCCAAGGAGGCAUGUGACAGAAAUGCUAUUUUUAUCCCCGUGUUAGAGAUGAGGGCUGAGGAAAGACUGGUGAGGUGCCUUGCCCAAGGCCACACGUCUGGUCCCCAGAGAAGCCAGGCUUCCUACCCAGGCAACCCAGGGGUCCCAUACACUGUCGCUGCCUGAUAGGUAGCAGUGGUGGUGAUACACACUUCCUCUAGGUACAUGCGCAUCCAUAAUAAAGACGCAGUAGACUUAUUUGCAUAUUUUAAAAAGUGUAUGGUUUCAGAACAUUUGUUGUUUUUCCCUGUUAUGAAUCGUGUCGCAGUAAACGUCUCGCGUGCAU